UCCCAGACUCCUACGGGAGGCAGCAGUGAGGAAUAUUGGUCAAUGGUCGGGAGACUGAACCAGCCAAGCCGCGUGAGGGAUGAAGGUACAGAGUAUCGUAAACCUCUUUUGUCAGGGAACAAAGGCGGGGACGUGUCCCCGGAUGAGUGUACCUGAAGAAAAAGCAUCGGCUAACUCCGUGCCAGCAGCCGCGGUAAUACGUAGGGAGCAAGCGUUGUUCGGAAUGACUGGGCGUAAAGGGUGCGUAGGCGGUUAUACAAGUUAGAAGUGAAAUACCCAGGGCUUAACUCGGGUGCUGCUUCUAAAACUGUAAGACUUGAGUGCAGUAGAGGUUAGUGGAAUUCCUAGUGUAGCGGUGGAAUGCGUAGAUAUUAGGAGGAACACCAGAGGCGAAGGCGGCUAACUGGACUGCAACUGACGCUGAGGCACGAAAGUGUGGGGAGCAAACAGGAUUAGAUACCCCUGUA
rnacentral:rRNA from 1 species